AUGAUUGGAUGAGAUGAUGUCAGUUGUUAUUCCCCACUGAAAAGUGCAACAGCAGAAUCCAGAGCCAGGAAGCCACUGGCCCAAGUUCACGCAGGAGGACGGACCAGGAGCAGGGCCUGCAUGUGGGUCGGUCGGGCUCCCGAACGGCUGAGUUUGGUGACCCCACGGAGGGAGACGCUGAGAGAGGACCUACCAUGGAUGGAAAAGUCUGCCGUUUGGAUGACACCAGGGUGACCUCGUGACUACAAGAUGACAGAGGAGCCACCAAGAAGGAAGGGGCCUCUGUCCUGCAACAACCAUCAGAGAAUAGCCACCCAGGAGAGUGAGGGGCCAGGGGCGUGAGCAUCGGACUUUGUGGGAGUGAGAAAUAAACAUACGUGAAUGUGGCAAAUGCA